GACGAACCGUGCGAACGUUGUUCGGAAUCACUGGGCUUAAAGGGCGCGUAGGCGGGCUGACAAGUCUGGGGUGAAAUCCCGCGGCUCAACCGUGGAACUGCCUUAGAUACUGUCGGCCUCGAGGAAGGUAGGGGCAUGCGGAACUGUAGGUGGAGCGGUGAAAUGCGUUGAUAUCUACAGGAACUCCGGUGGCGAAAGCGGCGUGCUGGACCUUUUCUGACGCUGAGGCGCGAAAAGCUAGGGGGAGCAAACGGGG
rnacentral:rRNA from 1 species